rnacentral:rRNA from 1 species
GGAGGAAUAUUGGGCAAUGGACGAAAGUCUGACCCAGCAACGCCGCGUGAAGGAUGAAGGCCUUCGGGUCGUAAACUUCUUUUGAGGGAGACGAGAAAGGACGGUAUCCCUCGAAUAAGCCACGGCUAACUACGUGCCAGCAGCCGCGGUAAAACGUAGGUGGCGAGCGUUAUCCGGAUUCAUUGGGCGUAAAGAGCUUGUAGGUGGUGCGAUAAGUUGGACGUGAAAACUCCGGGCUUAACUUGGAGAGGCCGUUCAAUACUGUUGUGCUAGAGGGCGUCAGAGGGAAGUGGAAUUCCUGGUGUAGCAGUGAAAUGCGUAGAUAUCAGGAGGAACAUCCGUGGCGAAGGCGGCUUCCUGGGGCGCACCUGACACUGAGAAGCGAAAGCUAGGGGAGCAAACGGGAUUAGAAACCCCGGUAGUCCUAGCUGUAGACGAUGGAUGCUAGGUGUGAGUGGAUCUAACCCCGCUCGUGCCGAAGCUAACGCGUUAAGCAUCCCGCCUGGGAACUACGAGCGCAAGCUUAAAACUCAAAGGAAUUGACGGGGUCAUAGCUGUUUCCU